UGUUCAAUGGAUAGAUCCCGC
ensembl:piRNA 21ur-2263 ncRNA